AUGUCGAAGCCCAAUACGGCGAACCGGAAGGCCAUGGCUUCCCUUACUAUGCUUGUUGGUUGGGCCAUUCGGAACGAGAGAAACGCUAGAGUUUUUAGGAAGAAAUCAACGCCGCCCUUCUACAUUCUAAAACUAAUCCAAGAUGAAGCCAAACUUUGGGUCACGGCAGGAGCUACGCACCUGAGCAUUAUCAUGCCACGAGAGUAG
rnacentral:rRNA from 1 species